rnacentral:rRNA from 1 species
UNAUUCGAUGAUACGCGAGGAACCUUACCAGGGCUUGAAAGUUAGUGAAGGGAGUGGAAACAUUUCCGUCAGCAAUGACACGAAACUAGGUGCUGCAUGGCUGUCGUCAGCUCGUGCCGUGAGGUGUUGGGUUAAGUCCCGCAACGAGCGCAACCCCCAUCUUUAGUUGCUAGCAGGUAAUGCUGAGGACUCUAAAGAAACUGCCUACGCAAGUAGAGAGGAAGGCNGGGGACGACGUCAAGUCAUCACGGCCCUUACGUCCUGGGCNACACACGUGCUACAAUGGUAGGNACNGANGGGCAGCUACNGGGUGACCGGAUGCGAAUCUCUAAAGCCUAUCUCAGUUCGGAUUGGAGUCUGCAACUCGACUCUAUGAAGCUGGAAUCGCUAGUAAUCGCGCAUCAGCCAUGGCGCGGUGAANACGUUCCCGGGCCUUGUACACACCGCCCGUCAAACAAUGGAAGCUGGGGGUGCCUGAAGUCGGUAACCGNAANG